rnacentral:rRNA from 1 species
UACGUAGGGCGCAAGCGUUUGUCCGGAAUUAUUGGGCGUAAAGAGCUCGUAGGCGGUCUGUCGCGUCGGAUGUGAAAGCCCCGGGGCUUAACCCCGGGUCUGCAUUCGAUACGGGCAGACGUAGAGUGUGGUAGGGGAGACUGGAAUUCCUGGUGUAGCGGUGAAAUGCGCAGAUAUCAGGAGGAACACCGAUGGCGAAGGCAGGUCUCUGGGCAUUAACUGACGCUGAGGAGCGAAAGCAUGGGGAGCAAACAGG